rnacentral:rRNA from 1 species
UACGUAGGGUGCAAGCGUUGCUCGGAAUUAUUGGGCGUAAAGAGCGUGUAGGUGGCUGAGUAAGUCGGAUGUGAAAUCCCUGGGCUCAACCGAGGAAGUGCAUUCGAAACUACUUAGCUCGAGGAUGGCAGAGGAAGGUGGAAUUCCAAGUGUAGAGGUGAAAUUCGUAGAUAUUUGGAGGAAUACCGGUGGCGAAGGCGGCCUUCUGGACCAUUCCUGACACUGAGACGCGAAAGCGUGGGUAGCAAACAGG